CAACUUUGAAUUCCUUAUCUCAAUUCUCAUAUUUUAACAGGAGGAGUGGGAGCUGGUCAGUGGGUUGGCAACACCUCCAAUGUUUACGCUGGUUCUAACUCAGGAUCCAUCGGUUCAGGGAAUCACAUCAACAUGAGCUGAGGUAAGAAAUGGAAGAGAUUUACUAUCAGAUGAAAUCGGCCUCCAACUCUUCUAAAAACAAUGCACCAUUUGUUGAAUGUAGAAUUCAUGAUUUCAAAUCAACAGAAAGAGUCAGUCAUCCGAUUAAUGUAAAGGAAAUAUGAAUGCAAAUAAAGUAGAGUAGCUGCUCUAUGA